CUCCGGUUGAUCCCGCCGGACCCGACUGCUAUCAGAGUGGGACUAAGCCAUGCGAGUCAACAUAGCAAUAUGUGGCAUACGGCUCAGUAACACGUAGUCAACAUGCCCAGGGGACGUGGAUAACCUCGGGAAACUGAGGAUAAACCGCGAUAGGUCAUCACUUCUGGAAUGGGUAAUGACUUAAAUCUAUAUGGCCCCUGGAUUGGACUGCGGCCGAUCAGGCUGUUGGUGAGGUAAUGGCCCACCAAACCUGUAACCGGUACGGGCUCUGAGAGGAGGAGCCCGGAGAUGGGCACUGAGACAAGGGCCCAGGCCCUAUGGGGCGCAGCAGGCGCGAAACCUCUGCAAUAGGCGAAAGCUUGACAGGGUUACUCUGAGUGAUUUCCGUUAAGGAGAUCUUUUGGCACCUCUAAAAAUGGUGCAGAAUAAGGGGUGGGCAAGUCUGGUGUCAGCCGCCGCGGUAAUACCAGCACCCCGAGUGGUCGGGACGUUUAUUGGGCCUAAAGCAUCCGUAGCCGGUUCUACAAGUCUUCCGUUAAAUCCACCUGCUUAACAGAUGGGCUGCGGAAGAUACUAUAGAGCUAGGAGGCGGGAGAGGCAAGCGGUACUCGAUGGGUAGGGGUAAAAUCCGUUGAUCCAUUGAAGACCACCAGUGGCGAAGGCGGCUUGCCAGAACGCGCUCGACGGUGAGGGAUGAAAGCUGGGGGAGCAAACCGGAUUAGAUACCCGGGUAGUCCCAGCUGUAAACGAUGCAGACUCGGUGAUGAGUUGGCUUAUUGCUAACUCAGUGCCGCAGGGAAGCCGUUAAGUUUGCCGCCUGGGGAGUACGGUCGCAAGACUGAAACUUAAAGGAAUUGGCGGGGAGCA
rnacentral:rRNA from 1 species